rnacentral:rRNA from 1 species
AUACGGAGGGUGCAAGCGUUACUCGGAAUCACUGGGCGUAAAGCGCGCGCAGGCGGCUUGAUAAGUUGGAUGUGAAAGCCUACGGCUCAACCGUAGAACUGCAUCCAAAACUGUCAAGCUCGAGUCUGGGAGGGGAAGAUGGAAUUAGUUGUGUAGGGGUAAAAUCCGUAGAGAUAACUAGGAAUACCAAAAGCGAAGGCGAUCUUCUGGAACAGUACUGACGCUGAGGCGCGAAAGCGUGGGGAGCAAACAGGAUUAGAAACCCCUGUAGUCC